UAAAAAUGAUUAUUGGAGGUAAAUUGAAUUUUUUUCAUUUUGUUUGAAUUUAUUUUGUUUCUCUUUCUUAUUCAUUUUUUUAUU
rnacentral:ribozyme from 1 species